UAUGAUUAGAAUACAGUGCAUUCCUUAAAGUUUAUUGUCAAUUGCUCAUUUUCUUUCCUCCUUUCAGAGGAUGCCAAGAUCAUUAAAGCCAGGACUGGGACCCACAUCAACAUCAUCUAUAAUCUAUUGGAUCAUGAUAUUCCACUGAGCUCAUCCAUCAGUACUUCUACCAAAUGUAAUAAAUGCACAUAGUU
rnacentral:lncRNA from 12 species